rnacentral:rRNA from 1 species
UGCAGUCGAACGAUGAACCACUUCGGUGGGGAUUAGUGGCGAACGGGUGAGUAACACGUGGGCAAUCUGCCCUGCACUCUGGGACAAGCCCUGGAAACGGGGUCUAAUACCGGAUACUGAUCAUCUUGGGCAUCCAAGGUGUUCGAAAGCUCCGGCGGUGCAGGAUGAGCCCGCGGCCUAUCAGCUUGUUGGUGAGGUAGUGGCUCACCAAGGCGACGACGGGUAGCCGGCCUGAGAGGGCGACCGGCCACACUGGGACUGAGACACGGCCCAGACUCCUACGGGAGGCAGCAGUGGGGAAUAUUGCACAAUGGGCGAAAGCCUGAUGCAGCGACGCCGCGUGAGGGAUGACGGCCUUCGGGUUGUAAACCUCUUUCAGCAGGGAAGAAGCGAAAGUGACGGUACCUGCAGAAGAAGCGCCGGCUAACUACGUGCCAGCAGCCGCGGUAAUACGUAGGGCGCGAGCGUUGUCCGGAAUUAUUGGGCGUAAAGAGCUCGUAGGCGGCUUGUCACGUCGGUUGUGAAAGCCCGGGGCUUAACCCCGGGUCUGCAGUCGAUACGGGCAGGCUAGAGUUCGGUAGGGGAGAUCGGAAUUCCUGGUGUAGCGGUGAAAUGCGCAGAUAUCAGGAGGAACACCGGUGGCGAAGGCGGAUCUCUGGGCCGAUACUGACGCUGAGGAGCGAAAGCGUGGGGAGCGAACAGGAUUAGAUACCCUGGUAGUCCACGCCGUAAACGGUGGGCACUAGGUGUGGGCAACAUUCCACGUUGUCCGUGCCGCAGCUAACGCAUUAAGUGCCCCGCCUGGGGAGUACGGCCGCAAGGCUAAAACUCAAAGGAAUUGACGGGGGCCCG